AAUGACUUCAUUCUUGGAGUCUUGGGUUGAGGAGCUUGUGAGAAGAGGAAGAGAAGAAGCUUGUGAGAAGAUGAAGAAAAGAAGGCAUUUUAAUACAUAAGUGUUCAUUCUUGGCUUGUCCAAAAAAUCUUCAUCAAGGGUAAAAUCUCAUACCUUUCUCUCUUUUCUAUUUGUGCACAACGAGACAAGAUCAUAAGAUACUUGGGCUAAAUGAAAAAGGC
rnacentral:lncRNA from 1 species